UAUCAGACUUUUUUCAAAGUCACACUCAGACUUAAAAAGUAAGCCU
rfam:Cicer arietinum chromosome Ca1, whole genome shotgun sequence.